rnacentral:rRNA from 1 species
CCGGAGGAAGGGUGGGGAUGACGUCAAGUCCUCAUGGCCCUUUAUGGGUAGGGCUUCACACGUCAUACAAUGGUCGGUACAGAGGGUUGCCAACCCGCGAGGGGGAGCUAAUCCCACAAAGCCGAUCGUAGUCCGGAUCGCAGUCUGCAACUCGACUGCGUGAAGUCGGAAUCGCUAGUAAUCGUGGAUCAGCAUGUCACGGUGAAUACGUUCCCGGGUCUU